UACGUAGGGUGCAAGCGUUAAUCGGAAUUACUGGGCGUAAAGCGUGCGCAGGCGGUUUUGUAAGUCUGUCGUGAAAUCCCCGGGCUCAACCUGGGAAUUGCGAUGGAGACUGCAAGGCUAGAAUCUGGCAGAGGGGGGUGGAAUUCCACGUGUAGCAGUGAAAUGCGUAGAGAUGUGGAGGAACACCGAUGGCGAAGGCAGCCCCCUGGGCCAAUACUGACGCUCAUGCACGAAAGCGUGGGGAGCAAACAGG
rnacentral:rRNA from 1 species